GGCUCCGUGGUGUAUAAACACAUCAGAUUGCAAAUCUGCAGAAGCAGGCUAAUUGCCCGCCGGGGCUU
rnacentral:tRNA from 1 species